rnacentral:ribozyme from 13 species
ACUGCACAUAUUUAUAUUAUUUAAAAUCCUUUUUGCUCUUUCUUUUGCUUUUAUCUUUAAAUUUAAUCCAAAGUGCACCGCGCCCGCGUUCACUGUGGUUUUCAAACAAUGCCAGGUAAGGCCUAUCCGUUCCUUUACGCUAAAAUCUGCCAUUGUAAGACUAGAAAACAUGUAUCCA